UGUACCUGCGCGUUAGCCGCCAGAAUCAAAGAUGAUGUUGUCUUACUGACAGGUUGUGUUACAGGGGAAGUAAUAACAGCAAAGCUUUUCAAGAGGGAGAAUUCAGAGCAAUUUUUUGUGAGGCGAUAUGACGGAGGUUUGCAGUAUGAAAUAUCCCUACCGACUGGCGGUCUCGUUGUGGCCCGAAAAACAUUUCAAGAUUCGAUCAAUGUCUGGUUUUAUCCAAGUCUCUCUGAUUCCAAUUCUACUGAAGGUCUUUGUGGGUCUUUUGGAUCAGGAUCAACUAGUGCCAGUUUAAGCAUUGAGACGUGGAGG